GACGUAGGGCGCGAGCGUUGUCCGGAUUUAUUGGGCGUAAAGAGCUCGUAGGCGGCUUGUUGUCGUCAGCUGUGAAAACCCGCAGCUCAACUGUGGGCUUGCAGCUGAUACGGGCAGGCUUGAGUUCGGUAGGGGAGACUGGAAUUCCUGGUGUAGCGGUGAAAUGCGUUGAUAUCGGGAGGAACACCCAUGGCGAAGGCAGCAUACUGGCCGGCAUCUGACGCUGAGGCGCGAAAGCGUGGGUAGCAAACAGG
rnacentral:rRNA from 1 species